UACGAAGGGGGCUAGCGUUGCUCGGAAUCACUGGGCGUAAAGCGCACGUAGGCGGAUCUUUAAGUCAGGGGUGAAAUCCCAAGGCUCAACCUUGGAACUGCCUUUGAUACUGGGGAUCUCGAGUCCGGAAGAGGUGAGUGGAACUGCGAGUGUAGAGGUGAAAUUCGUAGAUAUUGGGAAGAACACCGGUGGCGAAGGCGGCGACCUGGUCCUUGACUGACGCUGAGGCGCGAAAGCGUGGGGAGCAAACAGG
rnacentral:rRNA from 1 species